rnacentral:rRNA from 1 species
UACGGAGGGUGCAAGCGUUGUCCGGAUUCACUGGGUUUAAAGGGUGCGUAGGAGGGCAGGUAAGUCAGUGGUGAAAUCUCCAAGCUUAACUUGGAAACUGCCGUUGAUACUAUCUGUCUUGAAUAUUGUGGAGGUGAGCGGAAUAUGUCAUGUAGCGGUGAAAUGCUUAGAUAUGACAUAGAACACCAAUUGCGAAGGCAGCUCACUACACAAUCAUUGACUCUGAGGCACGAAAGCGUGGGGAUCAAACAGG